rnacentral:lncRNA from 1 species
AAGACUCAGAAGAUGCAUUGCACAUGUCCAUGGAGUGAAAGAGGACCGAUUGUGGUUUAGAGCUGAGCUUAGUGGUGCUUUUGUUCCUCAUCAAAUAUCACAAUGGAGGUGAAGCCAUCAAAAGUGAAGUCACCAAGAAUGCUGAUUGGAGAGGCAGGAGCAGUGGCUCAGUGGUAAAGAGGACUUACUGCGCUUUCAGGGGCUCCAGCUCCAGGACCUGCUGCUCUCUUCAGGCUUCCAUGGGUACCCACAGGCACUUACCGGACGUCCUCACAUGCUUGCUGUC